rnacentral:rRNA from 1 species
GAGACGAGGGAGCAGGUCAUCCGCGAGCUCAAGAAGAUUGUGACGGAUUGGGCCAAGGCGGUGGCGUGUGAGGAGAGGGUUCCCCCGAGGCGAGGGACGGCUGCGGUCCUGACCUAUGGUUCUUACACGUUAUGGGGUUUGGACAUCAAUGCUAUAUUUCUCAAUUUUGUGGCUUUCGUACCAUUCUCAUUGGGAAUGAUUGUCCUGUGUGAUCUAUCAUGGUUAUUCUCUUCAGCAUCCAGUCCUAUGCUAGCAAGAGUGAUGACACAAGUGGAUAUGCCAAGCAAAUAUGUCCUGCUUGGAUCAUAUAUGCUUCUGUAA